GAAAACAGUCUUAAAUAUCUUAAUACAAAAGCGUAGUUAUAUUUAGGUAAAUACGUUUGCAUAUAGUUGACCGACUUUUACAUAUAUACAUAAGUAGAUGUACAUUAAAGUUGUUGGCAUAAGAGCUGCUGCUGUCUUUCCUUUUGAACUUUAGAAUGCUUACUUAAGCCGUACUUAAGUUAAGGACAUUUGAAGGAAGGGUAUAUAAACGAAAUAAAGUAUUUCUUCUGCCCCAUUGUUGUUGGAUUAUCUCCAAUCAAAGACACAUCUUGGGCGAAAGUACAUCAGCUCAGCCCAAUUGGAUUGGUAGUGGGUCAUCUCCAGCGAGGACGACUUGCUAUGCACCACUCUCUGGAAGACCAGCCUUUCCUUCGAUUGUUAUUCAUUACUUUGUGUCUUCAAGUCAAUUCAGUCACCACCACGGCAACUUCUUCGUGGAGGUUGAGUAGGUGUAGGCCAAGUCACAAUCUGGACUUUUCGCCGUGUGCGUUGUGGUUUCCAGUGAUUAAUGUGUAGGCGUUCUAUCUGCUCGGAUAACGACCAUUGUUUCUGAUUUCACAAUGUCAAUUACAUUGUUCAAAUAGAAAUUCAGAGUAAAUUGAUGUCGAUUAUCUGGAAAUCAGUUCACAGGAAGGAAGGAGAAGGAUCGAGGGGAUUUAGAGUAGGAAUAGAUUUUAUGGCAUGAAAGGAUUUGCCCUUUACUGGCUGUAGUUUCAAAGAUAAUUCUGUCAUAGGCAGCUUUAUUCCUUCAUCUCAUUACAAAUUCGUUAAAAUAAAGCAAGUGGUUUACUUUGUGGGCCAAAAUGUACUUUCAUAUAUCUACUCCUCCACUCAAAAGUGUUUAUUAUUUUUCUAAACAACUUAACCUAACUUACUUGAAUAUUUUGCAAUAAUAAAUUUAACCUUUUGUUCCUUCAGCCAAGUCAAUAACUUGAGCAAAGAAUAAAGAAACAGAGACAAGAGUUUUCAAAUCUCUCAAAAUACAAGGAGAGAAACACCUGAAUCUAUUAGUCUGAGAAAAUUUGGUUUGCUCGUUUGUUAAGCUAUUUGAUUGACCAAAGAAUCUAAAUAUUUGUCUUUUCGCCUACUCUCCACUUAAAACUUCAGUGCCUCAUCAGUUCUUAUGCAAAUGAGAUUCUAUUCAAAUUUUAAACUUGAACUUUUAACAGGCGUACUAAAGUUUUCCGUUUGUUAUAAAUUGAACCAAACGUGGUUCGUAAGUGAACACUAAACCGACUAGCGAGUACAUACAGUUAUUUAUAUACAUACAUAUACAUAAAUAGGCAUUUAUGUAAGGACGACCACAUUCAGUUCAGAGACUUGCUGAAUGUUUUGUUUAACCAAUAUUCUCAAUAAUUCUACUACAAUAAAUGUCAGUUGUCAGUCACAAAAAGAUAUCAACAAAUUCAUAAUAUUUAUAUUAUUAUAUAAUAUUAUUUGAGAAAUUGAGGCUGGUAAAUAAUUUUUAAAAUUUCUUCUUUUUUUGAAGUUCAAAUGCAAGUUCUCACUCUCCCAAUUAACCUGGAGGUCAUUCUGUCUGUUUCUAUUAUCCUCGUGAAGGUAUAAAUAAUUUUAUUCAUAAUGAUGUCGAAAACUGUUUUUGGAACAAGUUUCAUUCAGGUUUGCACGAUCUACUCAAAAAAUAAUUAUAAAGCAAAUAAUUUAUAUACGAAUAUCUGCAAAAAAAUAAAACAAAAUAGGCCAGAAUUCUUCUCAAAAUCUUUGUUUAACUCUUUUUCUGGGACUUAUGAUAGGAGAUAAAGUUCCAGAAAAUGAUGACGCUUGGAACUUGUUUGUUGUACGUUUGACCGUUCUUGAAUCGCAUAUUUUUUAAUAAUUUAGUCUGCAAAAUAGUGCAAGAUUAAUACCACCACUAUAAAUAAUAAUGAACCUUCCAGCUGGGGUAUACAAAUUAUAGAUCAUUGUUAACCUUUUUAGUUGCAAAAUAGCUUGUAAAAAUAUGUGCAUGGAAUUAAACACAAUUUCAGUGAAAAGUUUAAGAUUUGCCCGUAAAGAGAAAUAGUAACCACACCGCGUCUUGUGUAUGAUGUCAGCAAGUACUGUUUCGUUCGUGUGGCAUUCCUGAUUUAUCUGUCAAAGGCGCCGCUAAUAGUUUAAUGACAAGUAUUUGUGAAAAUUAUCGUUGAUGGAGUUAUUUCCAAAAAAAACAGUUAUCAAAUAACACAAGCCUGCAUUUGAGAAGGGAAUGAUUUGAAAAUUAUGAACAUUGAGAGGUGUGAUACGACCUAAUUGAGUUGGACCCCCAUCAUUACAUCUGCUUCAGGUAUUCACUCACCCAAAUUUCGUCUGACCUGGUCAAGAACAUUUAAAGCAAUUACACCAAUUACUGUGGUCACUUUUUGAUUCGACAGUUCGCUUUUUUCUCACAAGACAAAAGCCUAAAUGCUUAAUUUGCUUUAGAGAGAAGGUAGUUUCAGCAGGUCCACCACGAGGAGAGAGGAGAAAAGUUCUCCCUGAAUCAGAAAUAAUUAGGGUGGCCCAAGAUCAAAGGGCAGCAGCGAUUUUGUUUAUCCACCCGACCAACGCUGCCACAUACAUUUGUUAUACCUUAUGGUUGCACAAAAGUUACAAUUUUAUGGGAAUGCAGUUUAAAAGUCCUUCUUUCUACCUGACUCAAAUGUACUCUCACAGCAAAAUCAAGAGGUGGAAAAUUCCAUAAAAUAAAUUUAAUGAACACUCGCCCGAGUGCGAUAUGAUUUCCUUGAUUAAGCUCUUGACUCUAGGGCACUCGUUCAUUAUUCACCCAUCAGCAGCCCAUGCAUGCAGAACUGGAUUUCUGGUGUAAUGAAUUCUAAUUACACCACAAUUAUGUGCGCAUCCCUCAGUUAAUUCUUUGACGUGCAAUAUGCCGAACUGCUAUAUCUUCUGACUUUUUUGUUGUUAUAUAUUUUGGCUGUGAAACGCUCAUGAAGCCAAAGUUGAUUGGACCACCUAACCACAUGUUCAAAAAUUAGGUGCAUAUGAAUACGAUCAACAAUCAACUAAAUCAUACUUCAUACUUGUAAGUUACAAGUUGUAACCAUAUUUUAAUGGCAGAGCGCCGCGGAAUAUGAACGGCUGUCCAUUCAUACAUAUACUGAUCGUGUCGUCAAUUUGUUGAUUGCUAGAUUAAUGAAUUGGUAUUGCAUGCUGUGUCAAAGUCUUGUUAAAAUUUGGGAUGAGCGCACAAAGCACGGCAUCGUUAUCAUUAUAAAUGAUACUUACGGAUUAAGUUCACGCUGCCUGCACAAAAUGAGACCUACAGCACGGAUGAAAAAUUAUAUGCAGUCGCAACUGAGGUAAUGAUACAUAACUGAUAUAUAUAUACAUACAUUAAAUGCUUACUUCAAAGGUUGAGCUGGUUGUGCUUGAGCACAUUGACUUAAUGAUCAUCAUUUAGUUACACGUUGUCAAAUAAAGUCGGAAUAGACACCACUUUGGUUGUUUCAAAUGAUCUGGGCCCCUUGUCGGAAUUUAUGGCUUUUCUUCUCGCUCAUGACAUCAUUAACUAUGCUCAGGUAGGCGAAGACAAAGAAUGUCUCCGAACCCAUGUUGUUUUUGGUAGGUCGCCUUCGUCGUUGUCGUUGGAAUGACGUGGUGUGGUCUGCAGAUCGGAGCGACGAGGAGAUGAAAUGAGAUGAGCAACAAACAUUACUUCCACAAAUGAACCUCUCAGAAGGCCUGGUACUGGAGAAAUAAUGAGGUUAAAUGCACCUGCAGGGAUGAGCUCCACGUUCAGACCCUGUAGACUCAUUUGUAAAAUGAGAUUACUUCCAAUCCUACGAGCACAAAUCCAGCUAUAUUUCUAUAUUCCAUGUGUAUACAAUUACGAACAGCUUGUCCUUGAAUAAUAUAUAUCAGUACUCGUAUGUGAAGGUAGUAGUUCGCAAAUUUUUACGAAGGCAUGCUUCAGAAAUAAAUAAAAUGUAACGAAAUGAUGCUCAA